UCGCUACCCUAGCCUUCGUGUCUGAGCGUCAGUGAAUGUCCAGUAAGUUGCCUUCGCCAUUGAUGUUCCUCUCGAUAUCUACGCAUUUCACUGCUACACCGAGAAUUCCACUUACCUCUCCAUUACUCUAGCACGGGAGUAUCGGAUGCAGUUCCAAGGUUGAGCCUUGGGCUUUCACAUCCGACUUUCCGCGCGGCCUACACACGCUUUACGCCCAGUUAUUCCGAACAACGCUUGGGACCUUCGUAUUACCGCGGCUGCUGGCACGAAGUUAGCCGUCCCUUCCUCUUCAGGUACUAUCAAACUUACACGCUAUUAACGAAUAAGUCUUACUCCCUGAUGACAGGAGUUUACAACCCUAGGGCCGUCAUCCUCCACGCGGCGUUGCACCAUCAGACUUUCGUCCAUUGUGAAUGAUUCUCGACUGCUGCCACCCGUAGGUGUCUGGACCGUGUCUCAGUUCCAGUGUUGCUGAUCGUCCUCUCAGACCAGCUACCCGUCGUUGCCUUGGUGAGCUCUUACCUCACCAACUAGCUGAUAGGCCGCGAGCCCAUCCUUAAGCGACACCCGAAGGCAUCUUUACUCCGUAGAGACUAUGGGGCAUUAAUCUUCCUUUCGAAAGGCUAUUCCCCACUCAAGGGUAGGAUUCUCACGUGUUACUAACCCGUCCGCCACUAAGAAUCUCAUUAGCAAGCUAUUGAAAUUCUUCGUUCGACUUGCAUGUCUUAUCCACGCCGCCAGCGUUCGUUCUGAGCCAGGAUCAAACUCU
rnacentral:rRNA from 1 species